rnacentral:rRNA from 1 species
UACGUAGGGCGCAAGCGUUGUCCGGAAUUAUUGGGCGUAAAGAGCUCGUAGGCGGUUUGUCGCGUCUGCCGUGAAAACCCGAGGCUUAACCUCGUGGCUUGCGGUGGAUACGGGCAGACUAGAGGUAGGUAGGGGAGAAUGGAAUUCCCGGUGUAGCGGUGAAAUGCGCAGAUAUCGGGAGGAACACCGGUGGCGAAGGCGGUUCUCUGGGCCUUACCUGACGCUGAGGAGCGAAAGCGUGGGGAGCGAACCGG